AACGAACGCUGGCGGCAUGCCUAACACAUGCAAGUCGAACGAGACCUUCGGGUCUAGUGGCGAACGGGUGCGUAACGCGUGGGAAUCUGCCCUUCGGUUGGGAAUAACUGAGAGAAAUUUCAGCUAAUACCUUAUAAUGUCUUCGGACCAAAGAUUUAUCGCCGAGGGAUGAGCCCGCGUAGGAUUAGGUAGUUGGUGGAGUAAUGGCCUACCAAGCCGACGAUCCUUAGCUGGUCUGAGAGGAUGAUCAGCCACACUGGGACUGAGACACGGCCCAGACUCCUACGGGAGGCAGCAGUGGGGAAUAUUGGACGAUGGGCGAAAGCCUGAUCCAGCAAUGCCGCGUGAGUGAUGAAGGCCUUAGGGUUGUAAAGCUCUUUUACCCGGGAUGAUAAUGACAGUACCGGGAGAAUAAGCGCCGGCUAACUCCGUG
rnacentral:rRNA from 1 species